rnacentral:rRNA from 1 species
AUUGAACGCUGGCGGCAUGCCUUACACAUGCAAGUCGAACGGCAGCGGACCUUCGGGUGCCGGCGAGUGACGAACGGGUGAGUAAUAUAUCGGAACGUACCUUUCAGUGGGGGAUAACGUAGCGAAAGUUACGCUAAUACCGCAUAUUUUGUGAGCAGGAAAGCAGGGGAUCGCAAGACCUUGCGCUGAUUGAGCGGCCGAUAUCAGAUUAGCUAGUUGGUGAGGUAAAGGCUCACCAAGGCGACGAUCUGUAGCGGGUCUGAGAGGAUGAUCCGCCACACUGGAACUGAGACACGGUCCAGACUCCUACGGGAGGCAGCAGUGGGGAAUUUUGGACAAUGGGCGCAAGCCUGAUCCAGCCAUGCCGCGUGAGUGAAGAAGGCC